rnacentral:rRNA from 1 species
UACUCCUACGGGAGGCAGCAGUAGGGAAUCUUCCACAAUGGACGAAAGUCUGAUGGAGCAACGCCGCGUGAGUGAAGAAGGUUUUCGGAUCGUAAAACUCUGUUGUUGGAGAAGAANGUAUCUGAUAGUAACUGAUCAGGUAGUGACGGUAUCCAACCAGAAAGCCACGGCUAACUACGUGCCAGCAGCCGCGGUAAU